UCCGCUACCUUCCUCCCGCUCGCACCUGCACGCAGGCAGCACGCGACAUUUGCUCCACUGGCUGAGUCACUUGGGAGGCCCCAGACGGCUACAGUGGCACCUCGCUAAGGAGGACCUCAUAUAAUGGAAAUAAUAAUAGAAAGCCUUAGAGAAGCUUUGCCGUUGAGUCGUACUUCAGUCGGAGUCGCACAAAACCUGAGCGGUUGGUUAAUCGUAGUGACCUCUGGGCGGCUCACACAAAUGCAUGAAGCAAUUUGUUGCUGGCCAAUUAAAAAAUAAUAAUUUCAGCUGUAGGAGAAGGCAACUCGAUGGCUGACCAUCGCGUCCCAGUCGGCUGCACUUGGCAACCGAAGAAAAAUUGACGAAUGCAAUGAAUUCCGGGUCAUUUCAAAUGCACUGAGCUGAAACGAUAGUGUAGGGAACUCGGCAGUCGGUGUGCUGAAGCAUUAAGGCUUUUUUCGCCUUUUGACUCUGAUUUUAUCACCUAAUGAUUUCACCGCUGCUUCAUUUGUCGCCUGGGUGGCACUUGAAUUUUAAUUAGAUUGCUUUAAUACACUUGCGUCUGUUGAAGUCAGAAUUAAUAUUGCACGAAUGUUUAAAAAUCUUGUUCGAUUGUGCAAAUAUGACACACAUUAAUUACUGUGUUUGGAUUGCUAUACUGAAUUUACUGUUGAAGUGUCGGUUUGUGUUUAUUGUCUAAAAUUUACGAAAGUGUCGUAUAAAAAGUUGCAACACGAUUGCAAUUGUUGUCAGGGUCAAAUGUAAUUUCAGUUAAGGCAGCAAAUAAAACUUCAUGUGCAAUAAUAAUAAAACAACCAUAAUGAAUAUGUGGCUGCAAAUCGGCAACAAUAAUAUACGGACAUGUAUUGGUUUUAUCGACAUAUAAGGGAGAAUUGUGGAAUUGCAGAAGUAAAUCGAGCAUACAAACAAACAAAGAAUGUCCUCAUUAUUAUUAACUUAUCUAUGUAUUUUAAAAACCGCAGAUAUUUUUGCUGUUUAUAAAAAUUUUCACUCAUUCUAACUAGUUCAUACAAUUUCAAUGACCACAAACAUAUAUUAUUCAAAAGGCCAAAAAUAGCUACGAUUAUCAAGCAAUAUUAAGAAACCACAUAUACUAAAUUUUUUUGUAUAAUUAUUAUUUAAAAGCCAGUAACUUAUGAAUUUAUAUAUUAAUAUCAUUUAACAGCAAAAUAAAAUAUAAGUGCUGUUAAUGAUUCAGAGUGCGUGGGAGUUCGUUUAAAAACUAAUAGAUGGCGCCAACGAUCUGUUUCAGAUGUUAUUUGGCUGUUAUUUCGACGUGAGAUUAACUUAUAAAUUAUAUUCAAAUAGAAUACGAGAGAGUGGUGUGGUCGAGUGCCUCGACUAUCGGAUACCCGUUAAGCUUUUGUUGGAAAGUAAAUAAUCAGUUUAUUGAUUUAAAUAUCAUUUAUCAGUAACAUAAAGGCUAUGAUUACAAAAGAUGACUGUUAAUGUUAUAAAAGCUCAAAAGCUUUGUUUGCGUCAAAGUGUUCAUAAGCAAUAACAGGUGGCGCCAGCUGUAGUUCUUAAAACGGCCGCUAUGUAUUAGAUGAAUGAAAUAGAAAUAUAUAUGUAUUUCAAAUUGUAUAAUUCGUCAUUAAGCUGCAAGAAAAAAAUAAAAAUUGCAUUUGUAA